ACAAGGUCCUACUGUAUAGCACAGGGAACUAACUAUAUUCAAUAUCCUGUAAUAAACUAUAAUGGAAAAGAAUACAAAAAAGAAUAUAUAUAUAUGUAACUGAAUCACUUUGCUGUUUACCAGAAACUAACACAACACUGUAAAUCAAUUGUAUUUCAAUAGAAAAUAAAAAUAAAUAAAUAAUCAAGAAAAUAGAGUUCUAGAGACCUCACUAGAUUUAAUCAUUGUACUUUCAAUAAUAAAUUCCUUUUUACUUUCCUUUGGCUUCUGGUAGAACUCCCAGCUGCGCUAAGGCACACGAGAGGAGGGGAGCAGGGUGUCUGGCAGAUGGUAACCAGGAGGGGGUGAGGAAGAGGGGAUGGCGAAUGGCAGCAGGAAUCCAGGCCAAGAUGCAGCCCAUGACAAAAAGGAGCCAGUGGAGUACUUAGUGUGGGGAUUUGAUGCGGGUGCUGACACCCUGACCACCUUUCUCUGACCAUAUGCCUGCAUCUGCACCUGUUACUGCACCUGCAACUCUGAAUCCACCUUUUCCUGGGUCAGGGUGCUGUGUUAGGUGGUCACCCAGCCUAGGGCCCUGUAGAACCCGGGCCUCCCAUGUGAGUGGGAUCUGGGCCUGUUCCUGCAACCAGCUCAGUGGUGCACCUGCAACUGAAUGUCCCUCGUGGGGAUGAGGGGUGCAGAGGACCAGAACCAACCUUACCGGAGGACGCUGGGCCACAGACUGGUUUGUCAAGGUAGCUGACAACAUGUGUGUGGCUUUGCCCAGCCCGUGCAGGCUGCUGGCCCACCGCCGCCCGCCCGCCCCCGCGCCGGUCCCUCUACCAGGUCAAAUGCUUUCAGCUGCACACAAGGAACAGCGGGACUGCCUAUAUGCUGAACCACGAGAUGUUGCAGCUCUUGGCGGCUGCGCCGGCCUCAGGCUGCUGUGUCCUUGCAGUCCUGUGCAUGACACGGGGGUGGGCAAAUGUCUGCCUCAGCUGAACAUGGAGUUUGUGACACCAGGGACAUCUGUGAUUGGGAGACCUUCCAUCCCUUCCCUCCCUGCCAGGAGAGGGACCCCUACAAUAAAGCUCUACUUCUGGUACCAGGUGCUCAAAGUGGAUAGGCUGGCCUGGGGCAGUCCUCCAGGACUGAUGCUGGAGCCCCUACCAGGUGCCCUCUGAACAGAUAUUGUUCAGAUUACAAAUAAACAGAU